UCCCUGGAGGACUAGUGGUUAGGCCUCGGUGCUCUCACCGCCAUGGCCUGGGUUUGAUUCCCGGGCAGGGAA
rnacentral:tRNA from 1 species